rnacentral:rRNA from 1 species
CCUACGGGAGGCAGCAGUGGGGAAUAUUGCACAAUGGAGGAAACUCUGAUGCAGCGACGCCGCGUGAGUGAAGAAGGUCUUCGGAUCGUAAAACUCUGUCCUUGGUGAAGAUAAUGACGGUAACCAAGGAGGAAGCCCCGGCUAACUACGUGCCAGCAGCCGCGGUAAU